AGAAACUGCAGGAGGACAUCCUGGAAAAUGGGAGCACUGGGAGCAGAAAGGGAGCCAGAGGCGAUGGAACCCUUCUCAUCUGCGGCUUCUGAUUCUCCACAACGCUGCAAGAUGACAGAACAAAUUGUAGAACUGACUUUUACCUGCUUCUUCACUCCUCAAUGUGUAGGCCUUAAACUACCACCUGCUUGACCUCUACCCCAUGCUUUUCACUUUCAUUCCCCUGCUGACCUCCAUGUUCUUUACCACCUCCCAACUGAAGCCUUGAUGUUAUCUCUAACUCUUACUACAAUCCACUCUUCUCUACUUUCGCCUCACGUCCGUAACUUUGCCUUUAGGUUCUCUUUUGCUUCUUUACUCUGUUCUCACACCUUCAACUCUGGUCCCUCCACCACCUCCAUCUCUCGGUCUCCAACCGCAGUAAAUUCCUUCCCAUUGGCCAAUCUUGUUCUCUUAUCUCUGCCCUCUAACCUCAGCCUCAAUCUCCGCCUGUCUCUUCUCCAGGAGCUUGGCUACCACCAUAGCACGAUGCCGACCAGAACGCUUGCAGCUGACAGCCCAUUCACAUAGCAAUGACACCACAGCAUCAUCAUCUGAGGAGAUCUGGAGAACAAAGGAAGAGAAGGAGGAGUAAGGUCCCAAUCCAAAGAUUCGGUUACAAAGGGAGUCAAGAGAGUUGCUGAAGUCAGAGCGUUCAAAACUAUGGCUGUCCAGCACUUCCAAAGUAUGAAGUACCCGUCCAAUGGUGAAGCCUAA
rnacentral:lncRNA from 1 species